rnacentral:rRNA from 1 species
CGGACGGGUGAGUAAUGUAUGGGGAUCUGCCUGAUGGCGGGGGAUAACUACUGGAAACGGUAGCUAAUACCGCAUAAUGUCUACGGACCCAAGCGGGGGACCUCCGGGCCUCGCGCCAUCAGAUGAACCCAUAUGGGAUUAGCUUGUAGGUAAGGUAACGGCUUACCUAGGCGACGAUCCCUAGCUGGUCUGAGAGGAUGACCAGCCACACUGGAACUGAGGCACGGUCCAG